AUAGCGUAUAUUAAAGUUGUUGCGGUUAAAAAGCUCGUAGUUGGGUCUGCGGCCUGGGAGGCCGGUCCCCCGCAGGGUGCGACUGGUUUUCCCGGGCCUACCUCGCCGGUUUUCCCGCGGUACCCUUCGCUGGGCGCCGCGGGUGGCCGGCAAGUUUACUUUGAAAAAAUUAGAGUGCUCAAAGCAGGCGCGUAGCCUGAAUAGUGGUGCAUGGAAUAAUAGAAUAGGACCUCGGUUCUAUUUUGUUGGUUUUCGGAGCGCGAGGUAAUGAUUAAGAGGGACAGACGGGGGCAUUCGUAUUGCUGCGUUAGAGGUGAAAUUCUUGGAUCGCAGCAAGACGGACAACUG
rnacentral:rRNA from 1 species